GACGAACGCUGGCGGCGUGCUUAACACAUGCAAGUCGAACGGAAAGGCCCUGCUUUUGUCGGGUGCCAGAGUGGCGAACGGGUGAGUAACACGGGAGUAACCUGCCCUUGACUUUGGGAUAACUUCAGGCGACUGCGGCUAAUACCGGAUAGGAGCUCCUGCUGCAUGGUGGUGUUUGGACAGUUUCGGCGGUUGUGGAUGUACUCGCGGCUUAUCAGCUUGUUGGUGGGGUAGUGGCUUACCAAGGCUUUGACGGGUAGCCGGCCUGAGAGGGUGACCGGGCACAUUGGGACUGAGGGACGCCCCAGACUGCUACGGGAGGCAGCAGGGGGAAGUAUGGCACAAUGGGCGGAAGCCUGAUGCAGCAACGCCGGGUGCGGGAUGACGGCCUUCGGGGUGUAAACCGCUUUCGCCUGAGACGAAGCGUGAGUGACGGUAAUGGGUAAAGAAGCACCGGCUAACUACGUG
rnacentral:rRNA from 1 species